rnacentral:rRNA from 1 species
GACGAACGCUGGCGGCGUGCUUAACACAUGCAAGUCGAACGGAAAGGCCCUGCUUUUGUGGGGUGCUCGAGUGGCGAACGGGUGAGUAACACGUGAGUAACCUGCCCUUGACUUUGGGAUAACUUCGGGAAACUGGGGCUAAUACCGGAUAGGAGCUCCUGCUGCAUGGUGGGGGUUGGAAAGUUUCGGCGGUUGGGGAUGGACUCGCGGCUUAUCAGCUUGUUGGUGGGGUAGUGGCUUACCAAGGCUUUGACGGGUAGCCGGCCUGAGAGGGUGACCGGCCACAUUGGGACUGAGAGACGGCCCAGACUCCUACGGGAGGCAGCAGUGGGGAAUAUUGCACAAUGGGCGGAAGCCUGAUGCAGCAACGCCGCGUGCGGGAUGACGGCCUUCGGGUUGUAAACCGCUUUCGCCUGUGACGAAGCGUGAGUGACGGUAAUGGGUAAAGAAGCACCGGCUAACUACGUG